UUGCCCUCCAUGACCGGCAGGGAUUUGCAACGGAUAACUGGGAAUAACAAUUCUAAAGUUUCAUACCUUAGCUCAAAGGAGAUUAAAGAUCUAGAUGCAGUUCAUCAGCUUAAGUUGGAGCAUCAUGAUCUAACUGUUCCAACACUUGAAGAUGCAUUAAAGUUGAUAUCAGGUUCCAUCCGACAAGUAAUUCUUGAUGCAAAA
rnacentral:misc_RNA from 1 species